rnacentral:lncRNA from 1 species
UUCCCGGUUCUUCUUCAGCUCCUGGUUCUUCGGGUCAGCAGGAGACAGUCCCCGAGACUCAAUCUUCUCAGAGAGUCUCGCCUUCUUCUACGGCAUCGCCAUCAGUUCCUCAUGUGCCUCCUCCGGUAGCUCCUCCUCCGAUGCCAGCUCCUCAUGUGCCUCCUCAGAUGUCCGUCCAUCAGGUUCACGCUGAUUUGAUGGUGCCAGCGAGUUGUCCUUACUCUCAGUAC